rnacentral:rRNA from 1 species
ACUCAAAUGAAUUGACGGGGGCCCGCACAAGCAGUGGAGCAUGUGGUUUAAUUCGAUGAUACGCGAAAAACCUUACCAGGACUUGACAUCUAUAGAAUACUCUAGAAACAGAGUAGUGCCCGCAAGGGAGCUAUAAGACAGGUGGUGCAUGGCUGUCGUCAGCUCGUGUCGUGAGAUGUUGGGUUAAGUCCCGCAACGAGCGCAACCCCCAUUCUGUGUUGCCAGCAUGUAAUGAUGGGAACUCACAGGAGACUGCCCGUGGAAAGCGGGAGGAAGGUGGGGAUGACGUCAAGUCAUCAUGCCCCUUACGUUCUGGGCUACACACAUGCUACAAUGGCCGGUACAAAGGGUAGCUAAAUCGCAAGAUCAUGCCAAUCUCAAAAAACCGGCCCCAGUUCAGAUUGUAGUCUGCAACUCGACUACAUGAAGUCGGAAUUGCUAGUAAACGCAGAUCAGCUACGCUGCGUUGAAUACGUUCCCGGGCCUUGUACACACCGCCCGU